AAAAAAAACUUUAGAAGCUGCUUCUGAACAUACAACUUUGGUUGCUUCUCCUAUCUUUGUAAGUUUACUUUUCUUGGAUAUUUACUUUCUUGUUUAUAUUUUGUUUAUGGUUUAACAGUAAACCCGAAAAAAAAAAAAUGUCAUACCUCCUUAUUUGGCCAUUUGUGAAUGAUAAAACUGCACAAAUGGUCCCUGUGGUAUGUCGAAAAUUACCACUUCAGUCCAAAAAGGUUUGGACUAACACCACAGGUCCAAAGUUUUCAUUUUGUUGCGAGUUUGGUCCAAUUUGUUUUGAAUUUUUAUAAAAUGACGAUUUUGCCCUUUGUAUUUUCAUUAUUUAUUUAUUUUUUAAAUUACAAAAACUAAAAAAGGAAAAAAAUUCUAUUUGUAUUAUCACCCCCACCCCAUAUUUUUCUCUCUCCCAUUCAGAAAAAGGAAACACCACCAGAUUCCGGUGGCUGCCGGAGCACCGUCAUCCGACCACUAAAACCACCGUCGAUGAUGGAACGCUAGAACUAUCCGGCGCCGACUUCGCUAGAGAAAAAAAACUGAGAUCUGAACCUCCAAAGACCAUCAUUCUUCUUUCUUUUUGUUGCUACGAUGGCCAUCUCUCUCUCUCUCUCUCUCUCUCUCUCUUUCUCUCCCUUCUAUUGUUAUGAACCGUCUGUCGGACCAUCCAAAUCACCACCGAUGAUGAAGAUCUAAACAUCUCGCCGCCUCGAUGGAGAUCUAGAUUUCCUGGUUGUUCGACAAGAAAAAGAGAGAGAAAGAGGGUGAAAACAGAUCUGAAAACUUAGGGUUUCGUAAAACUAGAAGGGUGGCGGUGCUAGGGCUUUUGCUAUGUAGACACUGUAGCACCUGAUUCUUUGUACGUAUUCUUGUACUUAAUCCUUUUUUUUAUUUGCAAUUUUGGCCUUGGACUCGGCGAGUUGAAGGACUGACUCGCCGAGUAGAAGCAGGAUGAGACACGGAGUUUAAGUUGCGGACUCGGCGAGUAGUCGCUGUCUGGACAAAAACCCUAAUCCAGGGGUUUGCACCCUAUUUAAACACUCUAACUCGGCCUCCCUUGUCCUUAACACUUCCAGAGAGCUGUUGAGCGAAACCCUAGCCCCCCAUUGUUCUUGUGAGUGAUUCUUGGCUUUGUGAAUGAAGUUUGGAGCUUAGAAGAAGAAGGAGGAGGUUGAAGAAUGCGAGAAGGGGAAGUAGAUCCGAAAUCUACACUGUGAGAAGCUUCCAUUCAGGUAUAAAAGUUCCUACCUUGAUCACUAGUUCAUUAGAUCCCCUUUUUGUCCCUAAUUGAUGGUUUUCAAGCCGUAAAACCUCAAACUCCAUGUGGUUAUGCUCUAUGUUCUGAAAGGACUUCAGAUCUAGGCCUUAUGGACACCUUAGAAGUGUAAAGUCUUUGUGGUCAAAGUGAUGGAGGUCCCUAAUGAGUGUAUGACCUCAUAAAGAGCUUGGAUUUGCCUUUUGGAGCUCAUAGGGCCAUGCAUGCACGUAAAGUUUGCAACUUUACAUGAUAAGCAUACCCUAGGAGCUUAGAUCUAUGAUUUGGAACCGUUGCAUGUCUCAGAUUUGGUUUGUAUGGGAGGAGGGUUGAAGGGACUCGGCGAGUUCUAUGAAGGUGCUCUUAGACUCGAUGAGUUGGAUGAACAACUCGGCGAGUCCUUUGAAGAUUGCCUAGAACUCGACGAGUUGUUCUUCAAACUCGGCGAGUCAUAUGAACUGUUACUGAGUUAAGAGGGGUUUAAGUGUAGAAGGUCCAACCCUUCGUAGCUGCACGCGGGAUUAGCAAUUUAACAUGUAGCAAUAGUCCCAGAAACCCAAAUCCUCAAGAUGGAUGCUCUGGUGAGGAUUUGGAAGCGAGUAGGAGAUCUGCUCGGGGGACUCGGCGAGUCGGAUCGCGAGUCGGUCUAAUCGUCCCAAGUAGUGAGUUAAGGGUGACUCAGUGAAUGGGAAGAGGGACUUGAUGAGUUAGUAGUAGGAGAGGGACUCGGCGAGUCCAGUCAACUGGAAGUUAACUUUGACCAAGGAGUUGACCUUGGACCAGGGGCAGGUCGGUCAUUUAACCAAAGGGUAUUUAAGAGUGACUAAUCUAUGUUUAUGGAUUUAUAGCCGGAGGAUUGCCGGUGCAACAGUCAGUCGUCUAGCAAGCAGACCUUCAGCAACUACUUUUCGAGGUGAGUUCCCUUCCAGUAGCGGGGGGUCUACAGCCACAAUGUCGGCCCAUCAGUAGGAGUUGUAUGAUUAGAUGAUUGUCUAGGUGAUAUUCAUCUAGGUUUGUUACGACCUGAUAUGUUUACGUGCCAGUAUGAUAUGAUGUUAUGUGCUAGUGACAGUAGGGGAGAUAGUCCCCAGUAUUCGGUCGAGAGGACCGAAGGGGAGACCAACACCCAGAUAUGCUAGUCAGUAUCCGGUCGAGAGGACCGAAGGGGAGACCAGCACCCAGAUAUGCUAGUCAGCAUCCGGUCGAGAGGACCGAAGGGGUAGGUCGGGCACCCAGAUAUGCCUGACAAUAUAUGUAUGUUAUGUGGUUUUAUGGUAUGUGGUACGAUGGGGGAACUCACUAAGUUUCGUGCUUACAGUUUUCAGUUUUGGUUUCAGGUACCUCUUCAUCGAAGGGGAAGGAGCUGGCGCGGUAGCGGCACAUCAUACACACACACUGUUUUCCGCUUUACGUACUUGUUCUGGGAUUUGUACUAUGAUAUUUGGUUGAUUUCAUAUUUUGGUUUCAGACACGAUGUAUGUUAUGAAAUGGCUUGAUCAGACAAUGUUUUAUUUACAAAUGUUUUCCAAAAUGUUGAUUUAAAAACGAAAUUUUUGGACGUGAAAUUUGGGUCGUUACAGACACCUCGUCGGAGAAGAAGAGAGACGAGUAGUUUGAUGGUUCCGAUGUCUGCAACUAGAGUUUUAUCGAGCCACAAACGCCAUCGUCA
rnacentral:lncRNA from 1 species